UUUUAAAAUUAUUUAACAUUUUUACAAAUUGAAGUAUUCCCGAUUCUGUACGAAUUAUCAUUUGUCUUCAAGCUAUGGUUCGUACUUGCAUUGUUUGUCAUGUAUCCUCUAAAGAUAAUACAGGCAACGUAUCAUUUCAUUUUUGAAAACAAGUGACGAAAAUAAUCCAUCUCCAAGUGAAGAUAUAGAAAAUGUAAGCGUGUUACCAACAGAGUCAGAGCCAGCUACAUUUUCUGAUUCGUGUGAAGUCGAUUCUAACAGUCAAUAUGAUAUCGCAUUUGCUAUUGAAGAAAAUGCAAAUCUAAAAAUUCGAAACGAUCCAAAUAUGCUUUACAAAUAUUUAAAAGAAACGUGGUCACCGAAACAAAAUUAUAUUUUCCCUGUAAGUAUGAAUAAAAAAGGUCAUAAAAGAAGCUUUCAAAUUGAAUGGCUAAAUAAGCACAACUGAUUAGCUUAUAGUCGUAAUAGAGAAGGAGCGUUUUGUAAAGUAUGUGUACUUUUUGGACCAAAGUUUGGUGAAAUUGGAGGACAAAGGCUUGGGAUCUUAAAAGAAAUUCCUAUGAUAAAAUACAAUGAUGCUUUACACGAUUUUAAGAUACAUAUGGAAAGAGAAUAUCAUAAAACAGCAAUUGUGCGAUCUUUAGAAUUUAUAAAAUUUUUUGAAGGCAAACAAAAAACAAUAGAAAUUCAACUUGAUGAUCAACUAAAUGAAACUGUCAAACAAAAUACAAAGAAGUUAAUUCCUAUAAUUAAAACAAUUAUUUUCUGUGGUCGUCAUAAUAUAUCUAUAAGGAGGCAUAGAGACGAUGUUAAUUUAUCAAAUCUGAUUUCAAAUGAUCAAGCAAAAAAUAAUUUUAAUAUUGGAAUAUUCAAAGAAUUGUUGAUGUUCAGAAUAGACACGGGCGAUGUAGAUGUUCGCAAUCACUUAGAAUCGACUCCAAAAAAAUGCAACAUUUGUUAGUAAAACUAUUCAAAAUAAUUUGAUCGAUAUAUGUGGCUUGAUUAUCACAGACAAAUUAAUAAAAGAGGGAUAUGAUGGUGGAGCAAAUAUGUCUGGUAAAUACCGCGGAGUUCAAGCUAGAAUCUUAAAUUUGCAACCAAAGGCAAUAUACACUCAUUGUGCAUCGCACCGCCUAAAUUUAACUUUAAUAAAAGCAUGUAGAGACAUGAUAUCGAAAGAAAAGUAUCGAUAUUUUCACUUGGUAACGAAUGGAAUGAAAAUAACGAAACGUAACGACCGGUAUGAAUAUCGAAAAAAAAAUAUUAAUCCUUUUACUUAGUCCUAUCAUCGUAACAAAUAUAAUUAAAAUAUUGAUAACAAUAAAAUAUGAA
rnacentral:lncRNA from 1 species